CUUCCCUCGCCUUCUUCGGCAGCGGAGACGACCCGCCUUCCUCAGCCGCGGAGACGACCCGCCGGCCGCCCCCGCCUUCCUCAGCCGCGGAGACGACCCGCCGGCCGCCCCCGCCUUCCUCAGCCGCGGACACGACCCGCCGACCGCCCCCGAUACGGACCCUCACCCUCGCCGCGCCGAGCGCCGCCUGCUCUGGCAGCGUCCCUGCAAUAGAAGGAAUAUAAUAUACUGGCCUGAGGUUUGAGUGUUGUUGGUCACAAAACGCUUGAGACAUCUGCGCUCUAUCCCAGAUCUAUUUCCUCCUGCUGCUCUACGAUUAGCACGCAAGGAGUCCUUUCAUCUCAGAUCGUUUGGACAGCACUACUCGAUCAUAAUCUACAACCUUCGGUUUGGGGCUGGAAUACUAUCGAAUAUUUUAAGCUCGGUUAUUUGAACCAAGAUCAGUAUACAAUGAGAAUGGAACUCUUGUUGUCGCACUUUUUGACAUAUCGAAAAUGCCAUCAAGAAUAUUUGUCGUCAAAGUGUUUUCACGGCUUAUUCAAAGACAACAAGAAUGGAACUCGGGAUGUCAGUUCAAAUGUCAAAUUCUCAAAACUUUUGGAAGGCAACUUGUGGAACUUUAGGUCAUGAGGAUGGAAAACUUAUGUGCGCUUAUAAUUUCAUCAACUUUCUAGUUCCUAUUUUGAAAGUUGAUAAACAAAUCACAUCUCCAUGAGACUUUGAAUCGUAAAAGAGAAUGGAACUUGGAUUGCCACUUUAACUGUCGAAUUCCUGGAUAUUUUUGAAAGGCAACUUGUGGAAGGAAUUAGAGCUUUAGAUCACGAAGAUGGAAAACCUUUGUCGAUACUUUUCAUUCUGCAACUUUCCAGGUUUUUUUUGUUCUAUGUUCAUAGCAAAUCCAGUCUCCAAAAGGAGCUUGAAUUGUAAAUGAGAACAGAGUAUUGUGCUUGUAAUAUAUUUCUUCUUCAGAUUUCACUUUCUCGUGUAAUUGUACUUUGCUUAUUAUAUGAAUCAAUAAAGAUACUUUCUGCAAUUUCUA